GAUUGGAACUAGGCAGGAGAAAACAGUCAUCACAACCGGUGAAACUUCUUCACGAACAUCAGAAAUUGAAGAGCCAACGUUAAUUGCUAAUUCACCAAUUGCCCAGCAUGCAUUAUUUGUCACUGAAAAUGAUUCCUUUAGAUCAGAAGCACCCAGUUGUUUGGCUGCAAUUUUAAGAAAGUUGGAUAAAGAGGGACGCAAAUACACUGGGCAAAAUCUUGCUAGGUCUCCUAGUAGUGCAAGAGCACUUUGUCGGACAUCAGGAGCAUCAUCCACACAGCACUGCAGCGCUUUGUGAAACCAAACUCUCAAUGCCGCUACCAAGACCUUCUGCAAGCCCUGAGACUAGGUCCAAAGAGCAGACAACAAACUCUUUGUCAUAUUGAACUCCAGUGGAUGCAGGAUCAACCUUUGCCAAUUGUUGUGACUGGAUGAUGUUUAUGCACCUCCGGAAUACUGGUCCAGCAAAUUGAGAGAAUCCAGUUCCAAGUGCCUGUGCUAUAGAUGCAAAGCACUCUAACAGUGGGAAAAGAUCUUUAUCGGAAUCAGAAAGUUGCUGCCAUUUUGCAAUUAAUGGAGNCCACUUUGCAAUUAAUGGAGGCAUCAGAAUCUCAAGAUAUCUAGGCUGAUUAAGUUUCACU
rnacentral:misc_RNA from 1 species